rnacentral:rRNA from 1 species
AGUGAACGCUGGCGGUAGGCCUAACACAUGCAAGUCGAACGGCAGCACAGUAAGAGCUUGCUCUUACGGGUGGCGAGUGGCGGACGGGUGAGGAAUACAUCGGAAUCUACUUUUUCGUGGGGGAUAACGUAGGGAAACUUACGCUAAUGCCGCAUACGACCUAAGGGUGAAAGCAGGGGAUCUUCGGACCUUGCGCGAUUGAAUGAGCCGAUGUCGGAUUAGCUAGUUGGCGGGGUAAAGGCCCACCAAGGCGACGAUCCGUAGCUGGUCUGAGAGGAUGAUCAGCUACACUGGAACUGAGACACGGUCCAGACUCCUACGGGAGGCAGCAGUGGGGAAUAUUGGACAAUGGGCGCAAGCCUGAUCCAGCCAUACCGCGUGGGUGAAGAAGGCCUUCGGGUUGUAAAGCCCUUUUGUUGGGAAAGAAAAGCAGCAGGUUAAUACCCCGCUGUUCUGACGGUACCCAAAGAAUAAGCACCGGCUAACUUCGUG